UACGUAGGGCGCAAGCGUUGUCCGGAAUUAUUGGGCGUAAAGAGCUCGUAGGCGGCUUGUCACGUCGGGUGUGAAAGCCCGGGGCUUAACCCCGGGUCUGCAUUCGAUACGGGCAGGCUAGAGUGUGGUAGGGGAGAUCGGAAUUCCUGGUGUAGCGGUGAAAUGCGUAGAUAUCGGGAGGAACACCAGUGGCGAAGGCGACUAUCUGGGCUGCAACUGACGCUGAGGCGCGAAGGCUAGGGUAGCAAACAGG
rnacentral:rRNA from 1 species